rnacentral:lncRNA from 1 species
CCCUGCUUGUGUUCCCUAACUCAGUCAAGUAUAUAAAUUGUUUUAAAAAUCUUAAAAAAAAAAAGUUUCCCUGAUUUUGGUUUUAUGCAAACAUACUCAACACCAUGCUAAGGGAGAGUCCUACAUUAUUUCCUGCAAUCCUGCAAGAUAGUAACUACUAUUACCCAACUCUACAGAAGAGUCAAGCCCCAAGGGUAAAUUCGGAGUUGGGAUUCAGACCUAGAUAUUUUUUCUAUGAUCUAGGGCAUAACUAUUCUGCCUUAAUGCUGAGUAUUUCUUUCCAACACAACCCCCCAGUGCUGGAUGAGGCCUGAGGGUUACAACCGAAGGCCCUGCCAACUCAGGGUGGGCUGAAGGUCUGAGGUUCUGGGACCCACAGUUCCCGGGCAGCUCCAUUUAGUGUCCCCCUUGCUCCUAGUCCAGGUGAGAAGAGGGAGGCCCACUGAACAUGCAGCUCCUUUCAGUUGAGGCCACUUAGGAACUCCCAGCCUCCUCCUCCCUGGUUGGGACCUCUACAUCCUGGCCACACCUGAGGCCCCUUGGUCCUACGGUUCCCCUUCCUUCUGCACCGUUUAGAGUCGCAGUCUCCUCUGACUGAGCCAGCCAGGCGACCCUGUCUUGCGCACUCUUUACCACCUCCUCUGCAUCCUAACUAGCCCUGUCUGUGCUUAAACAGAUGUCCAUCUCGAAUGAGAAAAUGAAGUUCUAGCGGGGGCCUCAUCGCUCCGAGGUCCCAACAACUAUCUGGACUUUCGUCUCAGUGUCAGACUAAGCGGCUCCCAUCAUCUGCCGCGUCCCAGAGGGUGCAGGGAAACCCGCUAUCCAGCUCCGCGAAACCGGUCUCAGCAAGCACGCCACCAUCUUGCCUACCGCCUCUGAGAACUUGGGCUCACCCAGGAGGGGCCCGCGCCUGCGCGAACCGCGCAGGGGCGUGGCGAAGAGAGAGGGGGCGAGGCCUCCGCGGAAGGCGCGACGAGGCGCGGGGCAGUGACGCAAAUGCGCCCCCAGUGGCGGGUGUGUUCGCGCCUCCGGUCCGUAGCUUCUGGAUUCCGUUUCCACGGUUACGGCGGCGCGAGGCUGUGUCCCAGGCACUGACAUCCAGCGAUUUGUGCGUGCGCGGGAGCUGCACACUCUUGAAGUGACCGGCCUGGAGGCAGUUGCUCGGAUCAAGGUCAUAGUGUAUCCCUGAGCUUCCGCAACCCAUGUGCCCUUUGCCUGCUUCCCGUGACUUCCUCAGAGAACGUUGACUC